rnacentral:rRNA from 1 species
UAACCUGCGGAGGGAUCAUUGCUGGAACGCGCCCCGGCGCACCCAGAAACCCUUUGUGAACUUAUACCUAUUGUUGCCUCGGCGAAGGCCGGCCUCUCCUGAGGCCCCCCGGUGACGGGGAGCAGCCCGCCGGCGGCCGACCAAACUCUUGUUUCUUAGUGAAUCUCUGAGUAAAAAAACAUAAAUGAAUCAAAACUUUCAACAACGGAUCUCUUGGUUCUGGCAUCGAUGAAGAACGCAGCGAAAUGCGAUAAGUAAUGUGAAUUGCAGAAUUCAGUGAAUCAUCGAAUCUUUGAACGCACAUUGCGCCCUCUGGUAUUCCGGAGGGCAUGCCUGUUCGAGCGUCAUUUCAACCCUCAAGCCUGGCUUGGUGUUGGGGCACUGCUUUGAGACACAAGCAGGCCCUGAAAUCUAGUGGCGAGCUCGCCAGGACCCCGAGCGUAGUAGUUAUAUCUCGUUCUGGAAGGCCCUGGCGGUGCCCUGCCGUUAAACCCCCAACUUCUGAAAUUUUGACCUCGGAUCAGGUAGGAAUACCCGCUGAACUUAAGCAUAUCAAU